rnacentral:tRNA from 1 species
GCCGGCGUAGCUCAAUGGGCAGAGCAACUGAUUUGUAAUCAGUGGGUUGGGGGUUCAAGUCCUCUCGCCGGCACCA